AAAAAAUAGGGUUAAUGCAAUAAUGCCGCAAUUAACGUGACUUUUCGUCGUAUUACAUUUCCAUCCAUCCUCCGGCGUAUCUCUCUCUCCGAGCAAUGCUAUCGAUAAUAGCGAUCUAAACCUACCGUUUUCACAGAAGCAAACGUACGAUCGAAGAAAUGUUUGUACGAUUAACGUUAUCCUUGCCAAAAAUUGCAACGUUAUCGCUCCUCGAAUUCCAUGGUGUGCGCACGCACACCACCGAAGUGCGCACAUCGAAAUGCGCACGUUCCGCGAGGCGGUAUCAACGCGCGAACGCGGCCAUAAUGCACGCUCACGUAAGGUACAGCCGAGUUCUUCAUUAUCGUCAGGGGCCUAAAUUGCGUGGGCGUACCUAUACCUUCGUACACGUUACUUACCUUGAUGUACUAUACCUAGUACCUUGUACGCACACACUGUUACGAUCGCGUAGGGACGCGCGUUCGUUGAAUACGCGUACAAAUCCGUAGCCACAGGUUCGAGUGGCGAACGGUGCCGAAGUUGGUCGAAGUUGGCCGAACGCCGCGAAGCCGGUUGUCGCGCUCCUCGCCAGAUGCGAUGUCGAGUCAGUAUCGCGUCAGUCCUCCAGCGGAAUUGGUCAGUGAUCUGUGUCAGAGCAGGGCCAGUCGUCACUCUCCUUUUCUCUCCGCCGGUUAUCUCGUCUUUUUUCGACAUUUUUCCGUCCGGCGCACAUUGAAAUACGAAACGGUGGUUUCACGUGAUUUUCUCGUAUUCGUCGCCUCGGCUCGCGAACGCAUCCCCUUUUCGUGAUCUCGGGAACAUACGCCCGGUAUCUACGGUAUAUACUUGUACGAGUUAGAUACGUAUAGUACACAUACAGUAAUACAGUGCCAUAGUGGAGUUACCAGUGGGGAAAACAAAAAUUAGUUUGCAAGCGGACGUGCCUCACGGCGACCGUCGUUCACCACGUUCUGGAUCGGAGGCAGUGGGAGCAGGAGGCGAUAGGAAAUCGAAAGGAUCGACCACGAAAGGAGGAGAGCGCUAAUAUUGUCGAGUGGAGGCACACGGGGAGGAGAGGCAACAAAUGGAGCAUAGAGGCGCGGCGUCGGAUCGGCAGUAGCGGCACCCUAUCGUGUCGGGGCCCUGAGCUGGAGGGGGCCCCUGGAUCGGACGCGAGAAAGCUGGGCGGCGUUGUAGCGCGGCGAUGGCCGCGACCGACGGUCAGAUCGUGGUUGCGGCGGCACGCUGGGCCGAGGAAGCGACCUACCUUCGCGAAUUCGUCUCCAAGUAUCGUCUGCCUGCGGUGAUCAAGAUCACGAAGGGCCAGUACGGGGGGCUGGGUGUGCCCACCCUCCCCGCGCCCAGCCUGCAGAGCACCGCCCUGCUCGUGUCGGCCGGCCGGCGGCGGAAGAUCGUGGCCCAGGCGGUGAAGAUCAAGGAAGGGAGGAGGGUGGUCGGGGUCGGGCCCAGGCUCGCCAUCCCCGACUCGUACGCCGGCUACUUCGAGAUUCUGAGCGAGGAGGGUAGGGCGGUGCGCGGGAUAGAGUCGGUGAACGAGCUGUGCCGGCGAUGCCCCGAGGAGGGCGCCCUGGUGCGGGAGACGGUGCGCGGCAUAGCCUGCAGGGUGGACGACGAGUCGGGCAUAGUGGUGCCGGAGGGGACCAGGACGCUGGCCGCGGGCGAGACGAUCGUGACGGCCGGGGAGGUGAGUCUGCCGGGCCGCGGACGGUUCCUGCGCUGCGUGGACUGUCGGGGGGAGAGCGUCCUCCUCGGGAUGGAGCAGCGGGGCCGGUUCAGCGCGGUGGCGCGCGAGGACAACAUCAGCGGCGUGCACACGGCCCGCGCGCUGCUCAGCAAGCGGCUGCCGCUCACCGUGAGGCUGGUGCACGGCCAGCCGCCGAGGGGGCUCAAGUCGUCGUCGCAGUUCGUGCCCGAGCUCAGGCUGCUGUCCACGUUCGAGGAGGAGCACGUGUUCGCGCUGCCGCUGCAGAGAGAGGGGGCGGCGGUGGCGCUGCCCCUGGCGGCGCCGCUCAAGCUGGUGAAGGCGCGGAACGAGGAGGCGCUCAGGGCGAUGCAGGAGUUCACCAGGCUGGUCGAGCGGGCGUCGCGCCUGGUCGCCGACGUGGCGGACCGGGCCCACGUGCUGGACGGCCGGCUGGGCGAGAGCAAGCAGGCGGCCAGGCAGACGAGAAGCGGCUCCGGCUUCCUCAGGCGGUCCUCGGCCUCGGCCAAUUCGGACAACAGCGGGCCCCUCGCGGCCCACCACAGGAGCAACGCGGCCGCCCACCACCACCACCACCACCACCACUAUCACAGCAACGGCAGCCACCAGCAGCAGCAGCAGCAGCCGCCGCCCUCCUCCGGUUACGCGAGGGACGAGAACCGCGUCCCGCCCUCGGCGUGCACCGAGGAGUACGACGAGAUCGAUCAGAUUUACGACUACGUGCGGGGGUUCGCUCCUCUGCCGAAGAGCGUGAGGUCCCCCUACGAGAGCCCGCAGCCCGCCCAGGGGUCGUCCAGCCCGCCCCUGACCCCCGUCACCGUCACCAUCGCGCCCCUGCUCGACGACAGACCGGAACCACCCCCCAUAGAGACGAUCCCGACCAAGAAGAUCCAGGCCGAGAAGCGGACGAGGCGCGCCGUGAAGGAGGCGCCGCAGCCGAGGGCCGAGAAGCCGCCCUUGGCCAAGCUUUACGUGAAGAACAGCGGCACCCAGAGGGGGCGUCCUCUCAUGAGGCAGAAGAGCGCGUCCCCUUUGAAGGAGACCCCGCCCGGGUACAAGGGGGGCUCGCCCCUCUUCAACAUCAGAUACAAGAGCUUGACGAAUCUGCAGCAGGCCAUGGAGCUCGACGGGACCCUCGACUCGAGCCAUUCGGGGGGCAGAACCUCGGGGGACUCUGGUGCUGGUGCUAAGCUGCCCGAAAAGAGAUCGAGGCGUCUAAGCAGACCGCGCUCGUUGACGAAUUUAGUGUGGGAGCUGCGCGGCGGAAGUGGCCUCGGGAGACCGGAAACCCCGCCACCGGCCACCGCUGCACCGCUGCCCCCCACCAAAUGCGGACCACGUCUGGCCGUCACCGUGGUGGCACCCCGACGCGUUAGCACGCUCUACCUCUAACUCCCAAAGAAGAUUUAACUUUCAAUCUUGAAGAGAAUUGCAAUUCGUCAAAUUUUACUUUGAAUUGACACUGAUAUCGCACAAUUUUGAAGAAAAUCUAAUUUUCAACGUGUCGAGAGGCGGCACGCGCGACAGUUCACCAAAAUGGCCAAAGAGGACGCGGCGAGGGAUCGAGUAGGGGGAACCACUUUGCUUGGCAAUCGCGUCACGCUCGUUUACGCUAGUUUACGCCAGUUUACACAAGCGAUAUUACGUUAAGACCUAUCUUUAUGAGAACCGACAACGUCCCAUGGGGAAAUAUCCCCGGGUUUCAACGUUAUUGGUGAACAAGAAAAAGGGAGAUGAAGAAAGAUGAACGCCAGGGUUACCGGUGAAGAAAGCUGCGUGUUCGGUGCAAAGCGAAUCCCAAAGCGAAGUGUUUCCUUCGAGAGACGAUCGUGGCUAAGAUACGACGUCCGACUGGCUGCCAGGCUUGAAGGGCUUCGCAAACGAUCGGUCGUUGAACCACGAAUCGUUCUUCAAGCGUUACUCCCCAGAGGUGGGACGUGCAAAUUUCACUGGCCGACAUUUGCCUGUCUGGAAUUUGAGCCUCCUCUCCUCUAAGCUAUUUCGAGCUUGUAGUCUCGUAGCUUUAGGAAUUUGUCGAGGAUAUUUCUCACUGUGCAAAUUUUGAGGCACCGCCGUUCCAGAAAUUUUCUUCGAUUUUACGUUCGCAUCAAAUUUUAUCUCGAAAUAUAUAUAUAUAUAUAUGUCGUCCUCGAUUUCGAUAAUUUUCUUCGAAACAAAAUUCCUUCGGGUUCUUCUUUCGAAAGAAUUUUAUAUCUAGAACAAUUUUUUUGAAUCGAUUUAAAAUAAUUGUGUAAAAUUAUUAUCAAAUUUUGCAACCACGAUCUCGAUAUAAAAAUUCCUAUUGUGCUUCCCGUAUGGGAAUCGAUAGGAGGUGAUGACAAAGAGGAUACGUUUAAAAGAUUCGUUAAACGGGAAAAAGCGUCAGCUGCGAUCAAUUUUCGCGGUAGACACGCGAAUCCUACGCCAUUGCGGGGUAAGACAGAGCGACGAGGAGGAACAAAGCGACCCACGCUGCGGGUAUCAUCAUAGUCAUAUUCAUACACGGAGCGUAAGGGCAUUUCAGCACUGGGACAAUGGCGGGACCGAAUUUUUUCUUUUUUCUUCAAGGCUCGAUUGCACCGUGCCUUCUUUGUAGCCACGCGACGACGUCGACUGCCAAUAAAGGUGCCUCCUUUAUGAAGCCUGCUGUACAUGGGCCGCAGCUGCCCCAACGGAAACGGGCCACUCUAACCGUUCUUUGUUUUCGAAAUCUUUCAAACGUUCCCUUCCUCUAAAUUCUUUUCUGUUGCAAUCUUGAAAAUGUUUCGAGGAUUCGUCGCAUCCCAAAGGCGACGGUUUGAAAAUCGAGAACAAUGUAAAGAUAAAGGGAAGGCAGAGGCAGAGGAAUUACUUGAAAAUAAAAGUAAAAUAUUUUGACAAAAAUUAUAAAAUCACGAAAAUGUGAGAAAUUUUCACGGUUUGAGUUAUUUUGUAAAAUUGUAAGAUCUAAGAUAGAUACAAAAUUUGUUUAUAAAAAUAUAAUUUGGUUUUGUGUGAAAUAAAACUUUCACAAAUAUGAUUAUUCAAAUAUCAUAAUAAAUAUUACACUUUGAAUAUUUUAUUUUUUCUUUUUUGCAUAUCGUGUGUUCUGUAAAUUUUUUAUAAAUGCAUAAAUAUUCUACUUAGACUCCGUAGAAUCGAGCUUUCAAAAUUAUUCCAUGAAUAUAUCAACACUCUAUGUAGAUCUGCAUUUAAUUUUUAAGAAAAUCCACAUCGUUAAAUUUCUGAUUCGUUAAACAUUCAAAAUUAUAAUUUUAGAAUGUAGAGAGAUAGAAAAAAAAGUAUCGAACAAAUCUUUAGAUUUUGAGAAUCAGUUUUGAGAAUAAGGAUUAAAGGAUUCUCUUCUACAUUUUCAUGUAAAAUAUCGCGCGAAAUAUAUUUUUCAUUUCAAUUUUUUUUUAUCGCACGAUCACGCGGGAUGCUCGAAGUAAAUCCACGGGGCUUGAUUCAGCGAGAUUCUGUGGACGGAGGAAGUUUGGUUGGCGCGUCUUCAGCAUGAUAAACGGUGGCAGAUACAACAAUGGGUUCAUUACCGAAAGUUUAGCCCGGCACUUGGGCCCCCUUGGCGAAUCCUGGGCCGGCAAAGGGGUCCGGGUCGGUGACCUCUGCACACGGAUGGCCGGCUCGCGGCACCGACCUUUGCGAAAAGUACACGUGCACUGAGCAAACGUUCCUUCUAACAUAACAACGAGAAACCUUCUUGGAAAUUAUUUGUUUAAAUUCCUGUUGAAAUACACGCGCGAAAUUAGAAAAUUGUAUAUAUAAAAAUUGCGAUUCAGAAAUUAAAUUAUUUCGAAAAUUGCGUUUCGCUCUCUUAAAUUAAUUCUCUUUCUUGCACGCAACGAGACGAACAAGAAUCGCGGGAUACAAUUUUCUUUUCGUUACAGGGCGAUACGCGUGGCGUAAAAGAAAAUAUCGGAACGUUGGAAUUAAUGAUUCCAAGUUGUUUCUGAAACUCGUGCCAAUUUCAAAUUACCUUUCGACGAACUCGUAAGGUGUAAUUUUCUUUUCGUUACAGGCCGUGGUAGCAACAUAGUCGCAGAAAAAAAAAUAAACGUAUGCACGUCCAUUGUGCGGGCACGCACGACGCAGAAGGGUUUUUGUUCCAACGUGUGGCGUACCACGCUCGGCAGCUCGUGUCAUUCACACGACGUCGUGACCUUCUUGCAAUAAAAGACCGCGAAAGCUGCAAAACUCAGUUUCUUUUCACUCUCGACGAAAAUAUCCCGUUGAAAAGAAAUUCUUGGAACUGUAGUUCAAACUUUCCUUGGAAUCCCCUUCGCGAUCCUUCAGACGCAGCGAAAAGAAUUCACUUAGAAAAUUCUCGAUAUUUUCAAACCGCGUUAUUUUUCAUCGCGCAGCCAAAACCGACGCAAUCCUCCUCUUCCGUCCGCCUUCGACAGAGAAAAAAAGGUAUAAAAGAAAAAUGGACAGUUUCGAUUUAACAUCGAGCAUAAAAUUAAUGAUCGUUUACGAUUAUUAAUAGCUAUGGUAAGACCUCGACCGCAUGAAUUUCGCACGGUUAUCGUGGCUCAACUUCGGCUCUUGUAAUUGCCGCGUACCGUCCCGAGUGAUAAAUAAUUUGCAAAUAUACCGCAACCGACAACAUUGUACAUAGGGGCGGCAUCGAUAUAGCCACCGCAAGAUUUAUCGAUUCGUUCGAAUUGCCGUUUCGCGAACCGGCGACCUUCAGUCCCUAUACCCUUUGUCUUGCUUCUUUUCUACGCACACCGCUCUAUUAGUCCCUCUCUCGUGGACAAUCAAAUCGCGUACUAUCGUUUCCAUCUGAUAAGAUUUAUUGCCUCGGUUUGUCGAGGAUAAACGUUGUUUAAACUUCGCUCGUUUAAAUUGCAACCACUGACGAAACGUGUUUGUUAUACAGGGAGCAUGAAAAAUAAAAGUGGAGAAACGUGUACGCUCUCUCUUUGUAUCGAAACCAAUCUUAUUUUAUUUUAUUUUUAUUUUUAUUUAUUUUUUAUUUUUAUUUAUUUAUUUAUUUUUUUUUUUGAGACCGGAAUGAUUCCUCGUUGAAUGGAAGAUAACGGAGAUUCGAGAGAUGGAGGAGAAUGGACGAAGGAGGAGAGAGAUGCUAUUGACCCGUUUGAUUGAUUAAAACGUCGAGCUCGUCGCAGUUGUUCGAUCGCUAAAUGAAUUUCGUUCGCCGCGCCAGCCAGGUAUACAAAGCGGCGCUUUAAAUCUUCGGGGCUUAAUAAUCAGUCUGAAGGCUCGUAACUCUUCCCAGUGUAUUCUCCGUCUCUAGAAACCGAGAGACGUUGGAGGCGAUGGGCGAGAAUGAAACGACGACGAUAGCGAGGGCGUGCUGUGGUAUUGGUCGAUUCGAAGAAAAUUCAAGGAGAAAAAUCGAAACUCCAAGUGUGUGCAUUAAUCUAUUCUCUUGUUAACGUUUUUUCGAUUAGACUUAUAUAUAAAAAAUAUUUGUCGAUAUUUUCACAUUAUAAAUAAUUCCAGUUGCGUGGGUUGGGUAAGAGGAAACCUCUAGGCGCCUCUGGUAUUACAUGGCAAUAAACGAGAGAUUUUAAUUACUAGUUCUAUAAAACGGCGUCAAUAAAGACAUUGCACAGUCGGUACGGUAACUUGCGCUUCUUCUCGUUCGUUAUCGGAUAAAUAAUACGAAUGACCGUGAACGAAUCUCUCAUCUCUUUUCUAGGCUUUCUCGCCUCGACAUGAAUCAUUCCGAUAACGAUCCACAUUCGCAAAAAGGAAUCGUCGUAAUUCAUUAUUAAUUCGAUCGUCAUCCUCGGUCGAUAAUAAAGCGAUCGUUUUAACGCCACGACCGCCAUUAAAAUUCUUGAUGUUUCAAUUGAAUUUCAAACGGAGCGUAAAGCGCCGCAAACCAUAGUAUACAAGCAUCUCCACGACGCGUGUAUAUGAACGGACGAGCGAGUAGUAUGGGGAUAGUUGGUGUGUCCGUCUGGCCGUUUAUUAUGGCACCAAGGGAAAUUACGAACGAGUCGGCCUGUGGCCAUCGCGGUAGCCGAUUGGUGCGCGGCAAUAUACGAGUGGCGGUAGAAUAUGAACGUCAGAGUGAAAAAUUCGAGAAAGUUCGAGUAAAAUCCUCUCUUAAGGAUUGAUUAAAGAAACAUAGAAAAAGGAUAACCGAGCAAAGUAAAAAUUUAUACGAAUCUACUUAACCGCAAUUCGAAUCGUCUCUUAGAAUGAAAAAAAGAUUCGCACUCCCGAAUCCCGUUUCGAUAAUGAAAGUAAACUUUCCAGAGUUUUAUUCCUCGAACAUACCCUUUCAGUUAUCAACCUGUAGAAUUACUUUAAUAACCUUCGAGGAAACCCGUUCUCCUUAGCAAAACAACUUUUAACUCCCUUUAAUAUAUUCUCAUCGUUAUCUCACAAUUCCCCAGAAUUAUUUUAAUAACUCUCGCGAUCCACUCAUCUUCACUCCACACAUCUCGAUACCUCUCGACGAUCUUUCACUCUCAAAAUAUAUUUUACACCCCCAGUUAUCGGGCCCCUAAAAUUAUUAUAACAACUCUCGAUACUUUCAACUGUGAAAUAUAUUAGCGUCCCCCGUUUAUUAAGCUUCAUUUUCAACCAGGGCCGGGAAUCAGCGCCAUCUGCGAAUUCUCUAGGAAUUCCCCAGCAAUACAUUGUUUCCCACGUGAAAGAGUAGAACCGCGCAAGAAUGGACGGCAUGGCGGAGGGGCAGGCCGCGAGAUUCUCCAUCGGCAAUUUGCAUGACCGAUGAUCGUGCACUGGUGCACACCGGCCUGGCGUGGACUCUGGGUGCAUCGUCAUUACGCACUGGCCAGAUACGAUCAAACUGUCGGUAAUGAUAGUCGCGCGACCCGGCGCACGUACGACGAACGCGAGGGUCGCGUUUAUUAAAUUACGUCAAAUUAUUGGUACGCUCGGAGGGUCGAUUAUCGGGGCUGCUCGUUCGACCGCCAAGAAUCGUUCUCCUUUUCCCCGAUUACCACGAGAAACCGGCGCGAGGUGGUAGCCGAGAUCUUCAUGCUCUUGGACACGGCUCUUUGCCGAUCUAACCUAACACGAUUCCUUGCUUCGAUGCGAGGAGUGGAAGGAAAGUAGCAAACGAGCUUGAGAAGUGGUUGGAUAUUCGAACCGACGAAGGACUAAAGAAGGCAAAGAGCGGUCCGGAUGGGGCGUCGAGGAUCUCCGAGAUGUCUUCGAUUAAUCAAAAACUCGUAGUUCAAGCAAGGACGGAGGGACGGAUCCAAGAUCCGUCGAAGAUCCCACCAUUUGUCCUCCUUUUUUUUUCUUCUUCUUCUUUUUAAUCCAUCGCAGCCGCGACCACCAAUCGAAAAAAUAUGACCUUUCGAAAUAUCCAAUUUUCGCAUUGGAUCGCGAGAGAUCGUUAAAAACGAGGGAGGAAGAGGAGCUGCUACAGGAUACUGCGUGCUUUUCACGAUCCUCGAUCGAAACUUUGGAUUCAACUUGAAGACGACGCUUACUGGAUGAGGUUACUCGAAGGAACCGAAGUGGAAGUCGGAAGACAACGCUCACAAUUCGUGAUCCAUUGAGAAAAAUCUCAAAUCCGAGUUUUUCUAGCUUGAUUAAGCUAAAAAGUAAACGAUGAAAGACGAUGAAAAAGAAAAUUUUGCACAAAUGAUCUUCAAAUCCUUUUUUUUUUUUAUAAGCUUCGAAACGCUCGAAACAUUUUUCUAAUGGAUCACGAAAAACUGGAGGAAAAUUCAUACAAGAUAACAAGAGCAGCGUUAUUUUCGAAACGAGAAUGAACGAGCAAAUUCAAAAUGGUCCAUCGAUCGAUGAAACCAAUGUACGAGGGAUGAUUUAAUGAAAUCGCUUCUCAAAAAAAAAAAAAAAAAAAUAGUAAGCGGUAGAAAAUAUGAUGACGAUUCUGAAAGCGAUACUCGGUAGCGCGGAGAAUGCGAAAAAUCAUCGGACACAAUCAUUAGCAGAAAGAUACGUGCUAACACGCGCCGUUAGUUAAUCUAAUAGGAAGCGUAGUUAAGGAUUAUAAAUGCCAUAAUAAUGACCAACUUCUUGUGGUUGUACUUAAGUCAUAUCUUUAUACUUUACUAUUUUACGUUUAAGGCCAAUUAAGUAUGUAAGUUGCAUAAUAUUUUACUAUCGGAGUAUCUUCGAGUUAAUUGCUAGGCAUUUAUUUCUUUAUCUCUUUUUUGUUUGUUAUUUUUUUUUUUUUUUCAUCGCGAUGGUUUCCGGUACCGGAAGUGAUUAUAUUCCGUGACGAUAAUCGUCGACACACUGGACACAGAUGUAACGAAUUUAUCGUUUCUUUUUCUUCCCUUCUUCGUUGAAAGGAAGUUUCUUUCUGAUGAAUAUUCGCCUUUCGAGAAGUUGACAAAUUGCCAAUCGUUUGUCACAGCUACGUCUUGAAGUUCGGCGAACAUUCUACUUGUUAUUCACAGAGACCGAUGAAAUAUUAACAAAUUAUUCUUUUGACUUUGAUUUUUUUAACCUCGGUCGAUCACCGAGUAAAAAUUCGAAUGUGCAAUGAAUUUGCUCUACGAUCUGUUGUUAGUCGGUACGUACUUACAUUUUUGCGUCCAGUACUCUAAACGAAAUCGUCAAAGGCCUGUGACACCCGACAAUUGCGCAAAAGAACUGCUUAACGAAUUCUUUAUCGGAAAUUAAGUAUCGAAAUCUGUCGGUUAACAGUCCUGGCCAGACCCAGCGCUCUGGACUUUGGUCUUUUGUGAUUAUUAUUUAAGUAGGUUUUAAGCGUAUGAUAGAUUAGCUAAAGUUUUACAAUGUUUCUCUAUAUUCUUUUCAAAAAACUCUGUUUCACUUUUAUCCUUUUUUCCCAUCGAUGAAAUUUUGCGAACGAUAAGUAAUCAGUGAAAAUAAAUAAAUAAUACGAAUGUAGUUACAAACAUCGUUUGUAAGAAUAGCAAUAAUAAUGGAGUUUGUGAAUCUAAAAGAAAAUCAAGCGAGAAAAGAGAUACAUUUAUACGAUUUAAAUAUACCGCCAAGACCAUUGCCGCUUCGAUUUUGGAGGCGGAGCAAAAUAGUAUCGAAGAGUUCGAUUCAAAUGAUGAUAUGAGAGAUAAGAAGAUUUAUGAUAAGAAUACGUUUUAAUCCGUAUGUCGAUAAUAUUUCUUACAGUUCUCUGUAACAUAAGUUUCCCUAGUUAUAAUGUUAAGAAGAUGUAGAUUUUGGAUUCUCAUGAUAAACAUUCUAUUUUGCGUAAUGAAUACGAGUAAGAAGGCACUCGGUCCCCUUUACGAUGGAACUCUGUGCGUUAUAAUUGUUCGUGAAUAAAGAAUGAAUAUUUCGUAUGUCGACGUUCGCCGAGAUUUUGCCAGGAGAACAGAUUGCGAUGCUACCAAUUCAUCGCGUAAAUAUCCCUAUAUUGCAACUUAUCCCAUAUCUCUGUCCUCCUUUACUUUGCAUUCUUUCUUCUUUAAGGUUAGUUUUUUUUUUUUAUAGGGCAUUGGAUGUAUCAUUGUCCAUAUUUUCACGUUGUGCUUGAUCAAUGUGAAACGAUGUUUCACUACGACGAUACUGAGAUGGUGCGUCGAUUUUCAUUAUAUUGUUCGUGUUUUCAUGGCGAAAUACUCGAUGCGUAAGGGUCGAGGAUCGUUGUGCCUUCGAAUGCACCUGUUCGAAUGAUACGUUUUAUCGAUAAUAAGAACAGACAUCCACUUUGUGAUUUCGUAAGCAGUUGUUCAAUGUUUUCUUUUUUUUUUUUUUAUACUUUCCUUAAUGCUUAUCUAGAAUAGCUUGUAUACCCUAAAGAGUGUUUCAAUAAAAGUGACAAUGAAAUCAAA